GCAAGUCGAACGAUGAAGCCCUUCGGGGUGGAUUAGUGGCGAACGGGUGAGUAACACGUGGGCAAUCUGCCCUGCACUCUGGGACAAGCCCUGGAAACGGGGUCUAAUACCGGAUACGACCACUGACCGCAUGGUUGGUGGUGGAAAGCUCCGGCGGUGCAGGAUGAGCCCGCGGCCUAUCAGCUUGUUGGUGGGGUAAUGGCCUACCAAGGCGACGACGGGUAGCCGGCCUGAGAGGGCGACCGGCCACACUGGGACUGAGACACGGCCCAGACUCCUACGGGAGGCAGCAGUGGGGAAUAUUGCACAAUGGGCGAAAGCCUGAUGCAGCGACGCCGCGUGAGGGAUGACGGCCUUCGGGUUGUAAACCUCUUUCAGCAGGGAAGAAGCGAGAGUGACGGUACCUGCAGAAGAAGCGCCGGCUAACUACGUGCCAGCAGCCGCGGUAAUACGUAGGGCGCAAGCGUUGUCCGGAAUUAUUGGGCGUAAAGAGCUCGUAGGCGGCUUGUCACGUCCGAUGUGAAAGCCCGGGGCUUAACCCCGGGUCUGCAUUCGAUACGGGCAGGCUAGAGUUCGGUAGGGGAGAUCGGAAUUCCUGGUGUAGCGGUGAAAUGCGCAGAUAUCAGGAGGAACACCGGUGGCGAAAGCGGAUCUCUGGGCCGAUACUGACGCUGAGGAGCGAAAGCGUGGGGAGCGAACAGGAUUAGAUACCCUGGUAGUCCACGCCGUAAACGUUGGGAACUAGGUGUGGGCGACAUUCCACGUCGUCCGUGCCGCAGCUAACGCAUU
rnacentral:rRNA from 1 species